rnacentral:lncRNA from 1 species
CUUUCCAUUACAUGUUCUACUCAAAAACUUUUGGUUUUUAGAGCACAUUAGAUUUCGGAUUUCUGGAUUGAGCAUGUUCAACCUGUGUAGUUUUUGAAAAUGUCCUAAGUAUAUGGCCUACCAUGUUCUUAGGGGCUGAGGAGCUUGUGCUGUGACUUCUGACUCUCUUCAUCAGUGUUGCCAAGGAGACUGAGGCCAAGUCACACAAGCAAGAUGGAAAAAGAAUGCUCGGCAAACAGGAGUGCUAAGGAACUGGUUGCCCUCACCUAGGCUCCAGUGGAAGUCUUGCUUCCACUGAGCUGUUACUCUUACGUUUCCUGGAGGAAUGCUACAGAAACCUCCUCAUGAAAUCUGACCCUACGCUGACAGUAGGAAUGUGUCAAAAAUGUUUCCUCCCAUGGGUCGGUUCCCCACUAGGAGAGUUUCAGAAUGGUGCCAUUAUGCCAUGGAAACCCAGGUGUUUAUGAGCAGAAGAGAGGAUGCCCAAACCAGUGAUGGAGUGUGUGAUAUGUGAAGACGGAAAGUUCCUUUGAAAGAGACGUAAUAACACCAAGCUAAUAUAAUUCAUGAAGUGGAGGUGGAGGUGAGUGUUUAUUAGUUAAUAUAUUAUUACGUUAGACAAAAUGGGAAUCAUGACAGAAGAAAUAAUUGCAGGUAGGUAUGGCACACUGGAGAGUUGGCAUUGGAUGGAAGAAGUUCGUUCUUCAGGUGUGAGUAC